UUCGAUUUCGGUUGAUCCUGCCGGACCCCACUGCUAUCGGGAUAGGACUAAGACAUGCUAGUCGAGCGCGUCAGGCAAAACGACGCGCGGCACACAGUUCAGUAACACGUGGCUAAUCUGCCCUUGGGACGAGAACAACCCCGGGAAACUGGGGCUAACUCUCGAUAGGCGAAGAACUCUGGAAUGAGUCUUCACCUAAACAGUGCAACGUUAUCCUCGUUGCAUCGCCCAAGGAUGAGGCCGCGACCGAUCAGGUUGUUGGCGAGGUAAUGGCUCACCAAGCCUUUUACCGGUGCGGGCCGUGGGAGCGGGAGCCCGGAGAUGGGCACUGAGACAAGGGCCCAGGCCCUACGGGGCGCAGCAGUCGCGAAAACUUUGCAAUAAGCGAAAGCUUGACAGGGCUAUCCCGAGUGCCAUCCGCUGAGGAAGGCUUUUACCCAGUCUAGAACGCUGGGGGAAUAAGGAGAGGGCAAGUCUGGUGUCAGCCGCCGCGGUAAUACCAGCUCUCCGAGUGGUGUGGAUGUUUAUUGGGCCUAAAGCAUCCGUAGCUGGCUAAGUUAGUCCCUUGUUAAAUCCACCGAAUUAAUCGUUGGAUUGCGGGGGAUACUGCUUGGCUAGGGGACGAGAGAGGCAGACGGUAUUUUCGGGGUAGGGGUGAAAUCCUAUAAUCCCGGGAAGACCACCAGUGGCGAAGGCUGUCUGCUAGAACGCGCCCGACGGUGAGGGAUGAAAGCUGGGGGAGCGAACCGGAUUAGAUACCCGGGUAGUCCCAGCUGUAAACGAUGCAGGCUAGGUGUUUGGACGGCCACGUGCCGUUCUAGUGCCGCAGGGAAGCUGUUAAGCCUGCCGCCUGGGGAGUACGAUCGCAAGAUUGAAACUUAAA
rnacentral:rRNA from 1 species